CUGAGGACACCACAGCAGCAGUGCCCACGGCUGCUGCCGUAGAAACUGCCGAGUUGACUGUUGAAGCUGGUGAGGGCCAUCCUGUGCAGGACAUCUGUGAUUGGGAGAUGCCUGAAGAUAGGGCUUUGGAGUCCGACCCUUCUGAUCAUCCA